rnacentral:rRNA from 1 species
GUACACGCGUGACUAGCAUAUCAAUAAGCGGAGGAAAAGAAACUAACAAGGAUUCCCCUAGUAACGGCGAGUGAAGCGGGAAGAGCUCAAAUUUGAAAUCUUAAAGGGUUUCCCUUUACGAAUUGUAGUUUAAAGAAGUGUUUUCUGUUGAGGUUUUGGUAAGAGUUCUUUGGAAUAGGACAUCAUAGAGGGUGAGAAUCCCGUAUUUGACCUUUACUUUCAACUUUGUGAUACACUUUCAAAGAGUCGGAUUGUUUGGGAAUGCAGUCCAAAAUGGGUGGUAAAUUUCAUCUAAAGCUAAAUAUUGGCGAGAGACCGAUAGCGAACAAGUACCGUGAGGGAAAGAUGAAAAGAACUUUGAAAAGAGAGUUAAACAGUACGUGAAAUUGUCAAAAGGGAAGCGUUUGACACCAGUGUUGUUUUUCUGAAAAUCAAUUAAAGAACUGUUUAUGCUAAGCUGUUUAGACUUUAUCAGCUAUCUGUUUAGUUUUGAGCUUUUCUUUAAUGCACUUUUCAGUUAACAAGUCAACAUCAAUUUCUUCUGCUGUAAAAAAGCUUGAGGAAGGUGGCUUGAGAUUCGUCUUAAGUGUUUAUAGCCUCUUGCCUAUGCAGUCGGAGAGACUGAGGUCUGCAGCGUAGACUCUUCGGGGUUAAAUGCAUUUGUGCUAAGUUAUAGCAUUUUAUAGACAACUUGUUGACUAUGAUUAGUCUUGUAGCUUACUCGCUUAUGUUAUUUUACCUACGCUUAGGAUGUUGACAGCAGUAUAGACUGU